GCCAGGGUGGCGUAGUGGUUAUCGCGUCUGCCUACUGAGCUGCAGACCCAGGUUUGAAUCCUGGUCUUGGUA